GUGUAUGUCUCUCUCUGCCCCUCCUCCACUCACGCUGUCUCGCAAACUAAAUAUUUAGAAGUAAAUAAGAAUAAAAAAUAAACUGUGCUUUGAAUGAAAAAUGGGAAAAGAACAUGUAAAAAUAAGCGUGCUUUGAUAUGGCUGAAUUAUAUGUGAAAUUUUGUUCUUGAAAUUGUUUCUUUAUAAUGUUUUGAUAUCAAGCCAAUUAACAGUAAAACAGUUAUUGGAAGAGUGGGGAACAACUGAAAAGAGAAUCUACCUUGAGAAUUUGUUUCUUAAAAGCAUCACAAGAAAGGUAUGUGUGUCCAGUUUUAGCAAGACAAGAAUGUCUGCCUUUUCAGAAGGAAAGGGAGUCCAAACUUUAUUGGAUUGUUAACUUCAGCAAUCUUUUACCUUUGACAUAAUUUUUAGAAGAAAUUUAAAUUGUCAAAACUUAAAGGGCCAAGAAGUCCUCCAGAGAGUGGGUCCUGUGGAUAAAGAAAGAAAAAUUGGAAGGCUUGCACCUUGGUAGAGAAACAAAAGUGAAAUAUGUCCCAAGUGAAUUCCUUGACUGGAGAGGCACAAGGAAUUUGUUGAUAAAAGGGUUGUUAACCUAUAGAUUAUACAAAUGCUCACUUUUUUUUUUUUUUUCUUCUUAAGCUAGAAGAAUGGAGUCUAAAGGCUUAGGUUAAUAUAUUGAUGUAACCUGGAGAAAAUUCAACACUUGGAAUUGAAAAAGGGGGAAGAUCUCUUUUAAGGAUAUUUAUUACUUCACUUGGAAAGUAGUCAAAUGAUGAGCGAUUCAAGGUCAAGAAAAAAGUGGCUGGUGAGUCUAAGAGCUGUGGCUAGUACCUCUAGAACAGUGCUCUUAUCCCAUCAGCACACUGGCUACCUGUGGAGAGCAUCAGGAUGCCUACUUUGAGGAGAAAUAACGGCGAUCCAGCCCCGAGUCCUGGCUGAGUCAGUUGGACCUUUUCUCUCCCCUCAUAAGUUCCUGGUUUUACUAAUAAUGCCCAUAAAAAAACUACUUUUGAACUCAUGGCUAUUUUUAUUCCGCAAAUAAAGCAAUGUAGUAUGGAACGGA